rnacentral:tRNA from 1 species
GUCAGGAUGGCCGAGCGGUCUAAGGCGCCAGACUCAAGAGUAAUCUUACCUCAGUCGCUGGGGUUGUGAGCGUUCUGGUCCUCUCUGAGGGCGUGGGUUCAAAUCCCACUUCUGACA